AACCUAACAGACUAGUCUCCAAAAUGGAGAAAAAUGCCCAUAGGAAUAAUACUGAAGUAAUAAAAAUAGCCGAUAUGGUUCAGAGGCGGUAAGAUCAAUUGUACACCUAGCAUGCUGGUCUCCAAAUUGGAGGAACAUUAGAUGAUGGGUAUGAAGAUACAUAUAUAUAUAUGAAAAAGCCAUCACAGAUGAACAAAUAAAAGAAUGGAAUAGCAUCCUUCUUGAUUGUUCGGCCAAACUUAUGCAGUUCCUGGUUAAAUUAGAAACAAACAAUUUGGACAUGGUAAAUAAAAAUCUUGAAAAGGAACUGGUUAAUGUUAAAAAUUUUAAAGAUAGAUCAGAAUUCUCCCUUCUUGAAAAUAAGUUACAGAAAAAUUUAGAAGGAUUUAAGAAACAUGUUAGGGAAAAGAAACACGAGAAGUACCUAAGAGACCACAGAGACUUUCAGGAAGGCAAUAUCUUUCGAACUAAAAGAGCUAAAAAAUAUUACAACAGUAGGAACAGUUCUACAUCUGGGAAUACUGAUUGGUCCGAUUCGGACUCUAGUACCUCUAGAAAAGAUCAAAAGAAAACUUAUUCACAACCUUAUAGAAAUAGAGGCAUCCUUAAGACUCGGAACGUUACUUUUCAGACACCCUUAAUCUUGAAACGGCAACAGCUAGCCAGACCCAAAAUACUGAGGGACAACUUCCUUUUUUAGAGGAGGACUGGCCCCUCCCACAGAGAGACAAAUUACGAGACAGACGCAAACGGGGCUACAAACGGGACAAAAGAUCAAAUCAGUACUAACAAGUGAUAACAUGCAUCAGAUUAUUAAUCAAAAUUUAAUUUACAACAGCAUCACAUCUCAUUACUUCAAAAAGGUUUAUCUUUUAUUCCCACCCCUAAUGCUAACAAAUUUGAUUGGAUUAAGGACACCAAUCUUUUUGGGGCAAAUUAGCCCUAAAUGUUGUCCACAAAAGAAGGGAAUACAAACUGGCCAAAGAGGCAGGUAUUCCUUAUGACGACUAUUGUCUUCAUCAGACACUAAUGUCCUUACUGGAGGAACAGAAUCUUGAACUGCCACUUACUGACUCUAAACCAGAGAGUUGGUUUACUCCCAACCUAAGUGAAGUGUCAAGCGUUGAUCUUUUUAUACGAAUGACGACAUCUUCUAUUGAAUCACUCCCUAUCCCUAAGAUAGUACAUGAUAAUCUUACGACAUUCCAAAGACGAGCCCUUAAAGAGUUGAGUACAGCAGCAGAUCUUAUCAUCAAACCCUCGGAUAAGGGUGGCAAUAUUAUCCUGCUGAAUAAAGAUGACUAUCUAGAGAUGUGUAUGGAACAUCUCGAUGAUCCAUUAGCAUAUCAUAAACUUACUGGGGAUCCCACCCCUCAAUAUCUUGAAGAACUUAAGCGUAUCCUAUUACCAGCAUUGGACAACAAAAUCAUUACACAAAACGAAUAUAGAUUCAUACUGCCACAUCUCAAUCCCACCAUUGCUACUCUAUACUGCCUUCCCAAGGUACACAAGAACAUCAAUAAACCACCGGGUAGACCAAUUGUCUCUGGGAAUGGCUCUAUCACUGAACGUAGUAGCAAAUUUUUAGAGAAACUGUUACAUCCGUUAGUUACUGGUCUUCCGUCUUAUCUCCAAGACACCAAACAAACCCUUAUCCUUUUAGAAAAUCUAAUUGUGCCACCCUACUGCCUUCUGGGGAGCCUUGAUGUUGUGGCUCUUUAUAACAAUAUACCUCACUCCAUAGGCCUAUCAGCAACCCGGCACUUCCUUACUAAAUCCAACAAAUUUUCGGAAUGCCAGACUGAUUUCAUUAUCCAACUUUUGGAAUAUGUACUUACACAUAACUUUUUUGUCUUUAACGGUACAUAUUACCUCCAGCUCAGGGGCACAGCCAUGGGCACAGCUUGUGCCCCCAGCUAUGCCAAUCUAUACCUGGGCUGGUGGGAGGAAACCAUUCUAGAUCCCAUCAUUAGAACUGGGUAUCAAACUUGUAUCUAUAGUUGGCAUAGGUAUAUCGAUGACGUCCUGGUAUUCUGGUUGGGCUCUGUUAAGCAAUUCGAAGAAUGUGAACUCCAUUGGCCUCCAAUUAACCCAUGUAAUUGACUCUGAACAUCUAGUCUUUCUGGAUCUCAAUAUUAAGAUCCUACCUGAUGGAACCAUCGAAACCGAGCUUUAUCGGAAACCGACAGCGACGAAUAGUCUGUUAAAUUGGGAAAGCCACCAUCCCAUCAAACUUAAAUCUGGCAUCCCAUACGGACAAUAUUUGAGGGCCAGACGCAACUGCUCUAAUGAUGCAACAUUCCAACUUGAAGCUCAAAAGCUACGAACUAUGUUUAAACAAAAAGGCUACCCGAACAGAAUAUUGAAAAGAGCCUACCAACAAGCCUCUGCUAUAAAUAGGAACGAGAGUCUACACGCUAACAGACAAGUCUCGGAUUCCAAUAUCAUUCGAUGUAUCGGGACAUAUGACCAAUACUGGGAACCUAUUCUACACAUUAUGUCUCACAACUGGCCAAUCCUCAAUUAUGACAAAGAUCUUAAGGACAACAUCACCAAGUUCCCCAACAUCACUGCACAUAGGGCUAAGAACCUCCGUGACCAUCUCGUUCACAGCCAUCUAGAACCCAGCCGUAAUCCAACUUGGCUAACUCCGGUUGCUGGUGUAUAUCAAUCUGGCCAUUGUAAGGCCUGCAAACAUAUUAAGCCU
rnacentral:lncRNA from 1 species